GACGAACGCUGGCGGCGUGCCUAAUACAUGCAAGUUGAGCGCUGAAGGUUGGUACUUGUACCGUCUGGAUGAGCAGCGAACGGGUGAGUAACGCGUGGGGAAUCUGCCUUUGAGCGGGGGACAACAUUUGGAAACGAAUGCUAAUACCGCAUAAAACCUGUAAACACAACUUUUAAGCUUGAAAAAUACAAUUGCAUCACUCAAACAUGAUCCCGCGUUGCAUUAGCUAGUUGGUGAGGUAAAGGAUCACCAAGGCGAUGAUACAUAGCCGACCUGAGAGGGUGAUCGGCCACAUUGGGACUGAGACACGGCACACACUGCUACAGGAGGCAGCAGUAGGGAAUCUUCGGCAAGGGACGAAAGUCUGACCGAGCAACGCGGCGUGAGUGAGGAGGGUUUCCGGAUCGGAAAACUCUGUUGGUAGAGAAGAACGUUCGUGAGAGUGGAAAGCUCAUCAAGUGACGGUAACUACAGAGAAAGCGACGGCUAACUACGUG
rnacentral:rRNA from 1 species